rnacentral:lncRNA from 1 species
CCUGUGAGGAUGUCCAGAGUCUAGGUGAUUGAAACCCUGAGAUAGGAGAUAGGUCAACACAAACCUGAGGGAGAGGUGCAAGAGAGGUGGCAUCCCAGCCUCUUCUGGGGGGCUGCAUCCAGCCAGCACCAGAUCAGAUCAUGGGUUUGCAAAGGGCUCCCCAAUGGUCUGUUCUGGGAGGAAUGGGAAUGGGUGGGAAUUAUUGCCUGAGGACCUAACCUCCCAGAACUUGUUUAUAUCAGCAGUUUCAACUUUUAGGUUCUAGUUUAAACCAAUUUAAUUAAACAGAUGUAAAAGGCUGGAGGGACACUCUUAAUUUGGUUUAAACCAGAUUUGGUUCAGGUUAGUUUACAUCAGUUAGGAACUAGUUUAAGGUAAACAGAAAUAAGCCACCUCUUGGACCCCAAUAAGAGUGUCCACACGGGAGCUUAACUAAACUGGUGUAGCUGUGUGUAGGCCAGGCUGUACCUGGCUCCUUGAGAUGUUGGAUUCAUGCCUGGUCCACUCUGCCAAUAGCUGUUUUCCUGGCCCUCCAUCACUUACUGCAGGGGGUUGAGGAACCCUGGAGAUGACAACUGCCUUGGUUAGUGAUCUAGAGUCCAAGGAUUCCACAUCUCCUGUCUCUAGCAAUGCGCAGUGGCUUUAACUAUGCUUAGGGCUCAUAAUUCAGCAGGUGCCGUGCACAGGGCAUGCUGCCAGCUGGGUGACUCAGCAGCACUAGGGAGCAUGCAAGGGUCAGCAAGGUGACAACGUUAAGGAGGAGGCAGUCGUGCUACUGCUCAGAGUAUUGCAUCAGUCCAGGAAGAGCACCUGCAAUGGGCACGUACAUUUGAUCCUGCCAGAGGCUUGGAGAGGGACUGAGAGACACAGGCCCGAUUGACUCUCUAGAAGGUGCAGUCACUGCUGGUGCCCUGGUGCUAGCAACAUGGGAAGGGACCUUAAGUUGAUGUGACUGCUUGAUUCUCCCCCAGGUACCGUGCUGUUGAUGGUUCUCCUGGCUCUGAUCCAUUGUUGCUGCUGCUGCUGCUGUGACACCCGGGGAUCACACAAGAAGGUCCCCAGAAAGAAAGUGGGCAUUGAUAACAAGGCCAUGGAGCCAUAGCCCCGCCUCCUCCCUUGGACAGACUGAUUCUGGAGCCAACGGGCAAAAGAC